rnacentral:rRNA from 1 species
UACGUAGGUGGCAAGCGUUGUCCGGAUUUAUUGGGUUUAAAGGGUGCGUAGGCGGUCUUCUAAGUCAGUUGUGAAAUACUUCAGCUUAACUGGAGAGGUGCAAUUGAUACUGGAAGACUUGAGUACUGAUGAGGUAGGCGGAAUGGACGGUGUAGCGGUGAAAUGCUUAGAUAUCGUCCAGAACACCGAUAGCGAAGGCAGCUUACUAAGGAGUAACUGACGCUGAGAUACGAAAGCGUGGGGAGCAAACAGG